AGGUUGGGUUAAUUGUUACAAUAUAGCUGUGAAGUGCUAUAUUGUCCCUCCCCCUGCUGAGAGUAAGUGUUUCCUACAAUCUCUGUCUGACUCAUUUCCGUAGUAAGACAGGGACGCUUGGUCUCAAACAU
ensembl:snoRNA SNORA63 Small nucleolar RNA SNORA63